GCCCCGGUAGUGAAGAUUCUUCUAUCUCACCAUGGAGCCCUUAAACCUUGUGUAAGAGAUUACUAAGACGUUACAGGAGUUACGGAAAAGCACCAGUGAAUCUUAAUAUCAAGACAGGAGGAAGAGUUUAUGGAACUACAGGAACAAAAGUCAAAGGGGUAGAGCUCGAUGCACCUAGAAGUAUUAAUGGAGUUCCACUCUUGGAGGUAGAUUUGGAUUCUUUUGAAGAUAAACCAUGGUGUAAACCUGGCGCUGACCUUUCUGAUUAUUUUAAUUAUGGGUUUAACGAAGAUACCUGGAACGCUUACUGUGAAAAACAAAAAAGGAUACGAAUGGGGCUUGAAGUUAUAGCAGUUACCUCAAUUACAAAUAUAUUUAUGGUAAUUAGUAAACAUUUCAAAAUACUCCUGUCUUUUCUAUUUUCUAUUCACUUUUUUUCCCUAAUCACUUUUUCCCCAUAAAGGUGAUUAAAUACUG